AUUGAACGCUGGCGGCAGGCCUAACACAUGCAAGUCGAGCGAGCGGCGGACGGGUGAGUAAUGUAUGGGAAACUGCCUGAUGGAGGGGGAUAACUACUGGAAACGGUAGCUAAUACCGCAUACCAUCAGAUGAACCCAUAUGGGAUUAGCUUGUAGGUGGGGUAACGGCUCACCUAGGCGACGAUCCCUAGCUGGUCUGAGAGGAUGACCAGCCACACUGGAACUGAGACACGGCCCAGACUCCUACGGGAGGCAGCAGUGGGGAAUAUUGCACAAUGGGGGCAACCCUGAUGCAGCCAUGCCGCGUGUAUGAAGAAGGCCUUCGGGUUGUAAAGUUCUUUCAGCGGCGAGGCGUUAACCGCAGAAGAAGCACCGGCUAACUCCGUGCCAGCCGCCGCGGUAAUUC
rnacentral:rRNA from 1 species